rnacentral:rRNA from 1 species
GGCGGACGGGUGAGUAACGCGUAAAGAACUUGCCCUUUAGACUGGGAUAACAGAGGGAAACUUCUGAUAAUACUGGAUAAGUUAGUAUACCGCAUGAUAUGCAAAUGAAAGCUACGGCACUAAAGGAGAGCUUUGCGUCCUAUUAGCUAGUUGGUAAGGUAAGAGCUUACCAAGGCGAUGAUAGGUAGCCGGCCUGAGAGGGUGGACGGCCACAAGGGGACUGAGAUACGGCCCUUACUCCUACGGGAGGCAGCAGAG